AGAGAGAGAGAGAGCAUGUACUCUAUACUGUAUUAGAUCUUUUUUAUUUAUGUGGUAACACAAUUUAUUAUGGUAGUACAAUAUGCAUUGUUCUAGUAAUUUGCAGAAAAUACAUAAAAAAGGUGUAUUUUAUUAAAAAAAAAAAAAAAAAAAAAAAAAAAAAACUUUCACUCUAACAGGGAAACACACUUGGUAUCUAGAAUUGGCUGCAUAUGUGGGCAGCUGAAUCAUCUUGUUGGCUAUCUACAGUUUCAAAGUCCCUCUCAUUCGUCAUGGGACUUCCAAGUGAAAGGACAUCAAAAUCCAUGUUUUUCUGUCCAAGGAGCGACUUUAAGAUGUCAGAAAGCGAAUUAAAAUCCUGAUUCCAAUAAAAAGAAGGAUUAUAACGGGCAUUUGAUGCCAUACAAUGUAGAUUGGUCUUGUUAACAAAAAUCCUAUUAGAUUAGGGGAUUGGGAAUUUGACAGGGCACGAAGGAAUCCUAUUAUUUCUCUCUGUCAUCCCAGGGAUUCAUUGCACGACGCCAUGAAUAUCAUCUCUUCCCGCUUGACCUGUAAAUCACAUGACAUGGGGGUACUGAAUUAGUUGUUGGUCAGCGGAUGAGUCUAUGCCCCCUAGUGACUUAAAGUUUUUAAAUCUGGACUCUUCAUAGUAUAUCCCUGAAUGCAAGAGAAAAAACUCAUUGUGGCCUUAGGCGGGAAGUUAGUGGUGUGAGACGAAGAGGCGGAGCUUAUUUCACUCUGCUAACGAUUCAAGUGUCAGAGAAAGUACAUUAUGAUUUCUAUUACUAUCUGGUAUUGUUGUUGAUGUGGAACAAGCAUAAAUAUUUUACUCUGGGAGUUAAUUAUAAUUACGUGUUGAUUGAUGAAAGAUUUUGCAGCUAUGUUUACUGCCAAAAAACUUUAACUUACAGGUGUGGAAAAAUUAACACUGUUUGAUAUCAAACAAAAGACUGAAAUUUAAUGACAUUAAAAAGGAAAUCUCAUGUUUGGAUGAAACUUUCUCAGAACUUUGAUUUAAUUUGGAUAUCAUAUCAAUCUGAAGGUAGCCACACGCGGGCCACUGUUUAUGACAGACCUUGACACACAACGGAGCAAGAUUAAUUCCUCCCUGACAAAAUCAUCUGCAUGUGCACAUAGCUAUUGGAAGCUGAAUUAGGUCAAGUCGUCUUCAAGAAUGAGGAAAAAAGGAAAUUAUAGACCAUCAUAAAAUUUGAUCAUCCCCAAGUUCAGCAUCCUUACUUCAUAAUGGAGCGCAUCAUUUUAUCAUUGAUUACACUAGCCUGUCUCUGUGCAUGUAUUUCGACACAAAAUUUAGUUACAUUCCAUCUUCAGGAAGACCAGCCGAACAACACUCUGAUAGGAAGCUUGGAAGAGGAAACUGGCCUUUCUAAGAUAAUUAAUGAAUCACUCAAAGACCUCAAAUUUACUCUCAAGAAAAAAGAAGAGCCCAUAAUUUCGCUAUUUCGUCUAGCAGAAUCUAGUCAACUCUUUACUAACCAAGUGAUAGACAGAGAAAAGGUGGCAGCGUGUCAGUACAAGACACAAUGUGUGUUCAACUUUGACGUCAUUGUGACGAGCUCAGCUUCCAGUUACUUCGGUUCCAUCAGUGUUCAUAUCAACGUCACCGAUGUCAACGAUCACAGUCCCACGUUUGAUCCGAAUCAUUUUCAACUCAAUUUACCGGAGUCCACCACAGCUAACAAGAGUGUGUACAGACUUGAGCCGGCUCAGGAUCUGGAUAUGGGGGGCAAUAACUCGGUGCAAUCGUACCAGUUCAUCCAAAUCACACCAGCAGUUUCCACAACCAUGGAUUUCCGAAUGGAAGAAAUAACAUCAUCGUUUGAUGGAUUGUCUCGUAACAUCUUCACCAAUGUUACAUUGGAUUACGAAAGACAGAAGCUUUAUGUUUAUCACAUACUCGCAAGGGAUGGAGGAAACCCUCAGAGAACGGGGACUUUCACCCUGGAAAUCAACGUUGUGGAUGAAAAUGACAACACCCCUAUUUUUGACACACUACAAGCUUCUGUAACCAUUGAGGAAAACACCCCUAUUAAUACCCCUUUCUACGUUUUCCAUGCGAGUGAUAAAGAUUCUGGCAAUAAUGGUAAAAUUGAAUUCCGAUUCAAGAAAUUUCAGGAACAAUGGCAGGAAAUUGCUGCAUUGUUUUCCAUUGAGAAUGAUACUGGGACAGUUAGAGUCAUUGGAAACUUGAAAUACGAGCAUGGAAAAGUCUACCACAUAAUCGUGGAAGCAACAGACAAAGGAGUCAUUCCUAGGUAUUCCUCAGCUCAGCUGGACGUAACGGUGAAGGACUCUGGAAAUAAUGCUCCAAAAAUUAACAUUAACUUCCUGUUCGAUGAUCUCGGCAACAAUACAAUGAGUGUUUCCGAGGAUGCCAUCCUGGAGCAGGCUAUUGCUGUGAUCAAUGUGGAAGAUUCUGACACCGGUUCUAAUGGAGAGGUGACUUGUCGGACUUAUAACACCUUCUUUGGUCUACAGAGUUUGAAUGAUGGAUAUAAAGUCAUUGUGCAGCACUAUUUGGACAGGGAGAAUAAAAGUAGUCAUCGCAUUAAGAUCACGUGUGCGGACAAGGGGACUCCGGUACUGGAAAGUGUAGUGGAGUUCACUGUGAUUUUGACAGAUGCCAAUGAUAAUCCACCAAAGUUCUCUGAGUUCUACUAUAAUGCUAAAGUCAAUGAAAACAAUAACAGAGGGAAGCAAAUCAUCCAGGUCCAAGCCACAGAUAAAGACAUUGGAGAAAAUGGACAAAUUUCUUACUUCAUUGAACCACCAACCGAUAAUAGGUUCUCCAUUGGUCGCGAAACCGGAAUUGUGACUGCUAAUGUUGAUUUUGACAGAGAGCAGUCGGUACACGUCACAUUCACUGUCAGGGCUACAGAUCAUGGAAAUCCACCUCAAAAUACCACAGCUAAUAUUUGGUUGGAUAUUGAGGAUGUUAAUGACAAUCCACCAAAUUUUUUGAAGGCCAAUUUUGUCUUCUCGGUGGAUGAAAAUCUUGAUGAAAGUUCAUUUGUGGGAGCAGUGCAAGCAGUUGACAAUGAUGAAGGCAAAAAUGGGGAAUUUGUCUUUAAAAUUUCGGAUGAUUAUACGAACAAGUCUGUCAUUCCUUUCAAUGUUUCCCAGUCGGGAGAAAUUAAAACCUACCAGCCAUUAGACAGGGAGAUUUUGAACCGAUACGACUUCCAUGUUAUUGCUGUUGAUAAAGGAGACCCAUCUUUAACAGGAACAGCUCAUGUUACAGUCAACAUCAAUGACAAAAAUGACAAUGCACCAAUUUUUAUCUUCCCAAGCACUGAUAAUCACACCAUUAUCAUUCCCAAUACGACUCCCCUAGAGUCCAUCAUAGCUUCUAUUCAGGCCUAUGACUUGGACGAGGAUUCGAAUGGCUAUGGCAAUGGAAGGGUCAUGUUUUACAUUGAUGGAGGAAACGAAGGAGAUGUUUUCUACUUGAAUCAUGACACCGGAAGUCUUCACUUCAGGAAGUAUGUUGGCGUGGCUGAGGACUACACGUUCCACUUGAAAAUCCGGGCGCGUGAUAGUGGUCGAGAAGCAUUGGAAGCAACACGAGACCUUGAUAUUGUUGUAAAAUACAUGAAUGCCACCACUGGUUCUUUGCAAAACCAGGACGACUCGGACAAAAACAUUCUGAUUGUUGUUAUCGUGGUUUGCGUGACCAUUGUGGUAUCUGUGGCACUCAUCGCCCUCAUCUGCAUGCUGCGACGAAAGAGUGAGGAUAAGAUGAAGGAUGAUGGUCCCCCGUUCCUGGCCUCGCGAUCACCUACCUCCACCCUUUAUGACCGGCCUCCACCAGCAUACCUCAAUGUUUCACAGGCAGACAAACCCACCAGACCCAGAGUCAGCUUCUCCAAGGACAAUGACACGUUCACUAAACAGCAGCUGAUGGAGAAGAUGACUGGAACCCCAAAUGGAAGGAUGGAGCCAGGAAAAUAUACAAAUCACAGUCAUCAGAACCCUAAGUCCCACACAGAGGAGAGCCCAAGUGAAACUUCAGGGGAGACAAUCCCGUCUGACAGCGGACAUGGGGGAUCAGAGGAGGAUUUUACUAGUCAUAGCCAUAAUAACAACAUUGAUAAAAGAAUACCAUUACAACCAUCUUACUUGAAGAAUGGAGUAUUCAUGAUGCAAGAGCCUUUGAACAAUCAAACAAACACUCUGCCGAGUGAGAGACGAUUAAAUUCAGUGUCGUCCAGUAAACCAGUGUCUAAGUACAUGGACGACAGUUUAUUAACAUCGAGUAUCAAUUCACUGUGGUCAGAUAACCACACCAUUAACAGACAAAACAGUAACAAUGUGCAAAAGUUACCCACAAUUCCUGCUUGGGCAGGAUAUCAUACAAGUGAUAGAAUGAAUGACAGUUUGUUAUUUUAUUCCAAAGACACAACACUGGGAAGUCACAGUGCCCACAGUCGGGAUGACGACGAGUGCACGACAACCAGCGGCAGUUACACCAUCAAUCCUGAUGAAAUUGAUGAUAGUUUCGACAACAGACCCAGGGAUAUGUUUGUGUAGAGAAAAGACAUGGAAUAUCAGGAUUAAUGUAUAAAUACCUUUAUUUAUAAUUUGUAGCCAAAGAUUUUUCUAAUAAUGGUGAACAAAAUAUACUUCUGAACCCAAUAAACAUCAAGUGCUUAUGACUAUAUAUGGAGAUGUGGACACGCACACAAAAAACAGCAAGACUAACCCCAGCAGAGCUGACCAAGGCAAUGUCAUGCCAUUUAUCACGUCCUCUUGUGCAACUGAUCCUGCAAAAAUGUUGCAGGUGAGAAAAAGUGACCAGAGGAUAUUGCUCAAUUUUGCAUGGCUGUGAAAAUAUUUUGCCUAAAAAAUACGGCUCCCAGGUCCACAUGCCAGUAUCGGACUAAACCGAGUGGGAGAAAAUACAUCAAAUGCGUACAUGUAACUUGUUGUAUGAAUUGUGUUCAAUAUAUCAUUUGUAUAUGAGUGAAAAUAACUUUUAUUAUAAACUUGUAUUUAACAGAUCUCAUUGAAAUUUUGUAUAGCAAAUGUUUUCUCUAGCAAUAUCCUAAUUGUCAGCAAUAUAUGUUGAAUAAUUUGUUUCUGCUGAAAUAGCCUCAGUUCAAUCUCGUCUUGUUAUUGUUCUUUAGAGAUGAACUGAGCAUGUGAAAUCCUGUUAUUUUUGUUUAUAAACGUAUGCAUAAUGUUGAAACUGGCAGCGUUUAAAUGUUAUUGAAAUUGAUCAAAACAUAACAAAUUAAUAAAACAGAGAAGAUAAAA